UACGUAGGGUGCAAGCGUUGUCCGGAAUUAUUGGGCGUAAGGAGCUCGUAGGCGGUCUGUCGCGUCGGCUGUGAAAACUCGGGGCUCAACUCCGAGCUUGCAGUCGAUACGGGCAGGCUAGAGUUCGGCAGGGGAGACUGGAAUUCCUGGUGUAGCGGUGAAAUGCGCAGAUAUCAGGAGGAACACCGGUGGCGAAGGCGGGUCUCUGGGCCGAUACUGACGCUGAGGAGCGAAAGCGUGGGGAGCGAACAGG
rnacentral:rRNA from 1 species